UGUAACGGGCUUUCCCGAUCGUGUGCGGAAGUGAUGGAGGAUGCCGUUCCUCUGUGUGCAAAUCGAGCGCCGUCCUCCCACUUCUCUGGCGGCGGCGCUUCCUCCCUCGGUGCCUUCAACUUCCCCAUCGUAGCCCCCAUCGAGAAUGUUGAGGAAAUAUUGCCGUGCAAAAUAUGCAGGAGAUACAAAUGGGCGUAGGAUAUUUCCUAGAUUCAUGAUGGUUCUUCCUUAAGGAGUCCCUUCUCUCGGAAGCUCUUGAUGCAGUCAUUAAACAUCUGUGGGAGAGUUUUGAAACAUGGAAGCCCGAGUUCCCUGAUCUUGGUAGUGUCCAUGCUGUGUGGAUUGCUGUCACCUUCCUGGUCAUUGCGCCUGUCGGUUCCAAUUCGAUGUCAGUAAUAUUGACUCAGGAGGCAUCUCCUGAUAACUAAAACAAUCAGGGAACAACAAAAGAGUAUCACUUGGA